GGGAAGGUAGCUCAGUGGUAGAGUGCUUGCCUUGCAUGCAUGAGGUCCUGGGUUCAAUUCCUCAGCACCA
rnacentral:tRNA from 1 species